CCUACGGGAGGCAGCAGUGAGGAAUAUUGGUCAAUGGGCGGAAGCCUGAACCAGCCAAGUCGCGUGAGGGAGUAAGGCCCUACGGGUCGUAAACCUCUUUUGCCGGGGAGCAGUGCCCAGCUAGUGAGCGGGGAGGGAGCGUACCCGGAGAAAAAGCAUCGGCUAACUCCGUGCCAGCAGCCGCGGUAAUCCGGAGGAUGCGAGCGUUCUCCGGAGUUAUUGGGGUUAAAGGGUGCGUAGGCGUGCCGUCAGGCAGGCGGUAAAAGUGCGGGGCUCAACCCCGCCGAGCCGUCGGAACCGGGGGCCUUGAGUACCGGAGAAGUACGCGGAAUGCGUGGUGUAGCGGUGAAAUGCAUAGAUAUCACGCAGAACCCCGAUUGCGAAGGCAGCGUACCGGCCGGUCACUGACGCUGAGGCACGAAAGCGCGGGUAUCGAACAGGAUUAGAUACCCCAGUAGUC
rnacentral:rRNA from 1 species